rnacentral:rRNA from 1 species
CCGGGGCUUUGUGGUGCGCUCUCGACGAGUCGAGUUGUUUGGGAAUGCAGCUCUAAAUGGGUGGUAAAUUCCAUCUAAAGCUAAAUACAGGCGAGAGACCGAUAGCGAACAAGUACCGUGAGGGAAAGAUGAAAAGAACUUUGGAAAGAGAGUUAAACAGUACGUGAAAUUGUUGAAAGGGAAACGCUUGAAGUCAGUCGCGUCCUUCAGAGAUCAACCUGGCCUUUCGCUUGGUGCACUCUUUGGAGGACGGGUCAGCAUCAAUUUUGACCGGGGGAAAAAGUUGGUGGGAAUGUGGCACUUUCGGGUGUGUUAUAGCCUGCUUGCAUAUACCUCGGUUGGGAUUGAGGAACUCAGCACGCCGCAAGGCCGGACUUUUGUCACGUUCGU